rnacentral:lncRNA from 1 species
GUUAUGCCUUCUGAAAACUCAAGGUCCUUCCUUGCGUUCUGUCCCGUUAAAUAAACUAAAAAAUCAACACGUGAAUUUGUUAAGGCUUUAAAAUAGGUAGAUGUGUGUGUCCCUCACAAUGGGGUAUUUACAUUUUAAUCCAAUAAUUUAUUUAAUAUUCUUUUCAAAUUCCCCCAUUGCCUCUUCUAUUCCCUCAUAGUUAAAUACAGUAACUACCACAUUUCGUGCAGCUUCUGUGCACCAGCUACCACGCUCAGUGCUUUCACAAAUUAUCACUAUUGUAAACAACCCUGUGACUUAGAUGUCACUGUGACUGUUUCACAGAUGAGGAAACUAAGGUUCAAGCCAUUUUAGAAUUUUUCUUAAGGUUACCUGGCUAUGAUAUGGCAAAGCCAGCAUUCGAAACCCGGCGUGUCUGAUUGUGAGGCUGAUGCCUUUUACAUGCUAUAAAAGAUGAUCUUGAAGGUUCUUUUCUGUUCUAGAAUCUCUGAUUCUGCAGGGUAAUAAAGGACUGUGCUAGACAUUGUUGAACACAGUUGUUAAGUUGAAGGGUCUUAUUGAAAUUUUGAAUAAAUAACUGAAAUAUCCCAACCUGUUUAAAACAUGACCUCCAGCAACUCCCACAGGCUGGUUGGGUCCCUAUUCCCAAACACAUCUGGUGUUUUUAAGCAUAACAUGAUGCCAAAAAAAGACAAUCAGGGAUAAAUCUGGAAAAGAGCACAGCAGUUGUCACUGGGAACCUGAGAUCGACGGAUUGCUGCUGCUGAGGGUUGAAUUUACGGUUUCCUGGAAGCCACAGUGAAGGCGGAAACAUCGUGUCCUCCACAGCACUUGCUUUCAGAGAGAAGACAGCAUACAAAUAUGUCUGCAGGGUGAACAUUUCUUUUUCCAGGACAACUUUGCAGGAAUCUACCAUACCCUUAGUUAAGGUCACUGAUGCUGCACCCACCAGGAGGAUAGACGCCUUCCCAAGCUCGGCAGCUCCCUCUCCUGGAGGAUGCAGGAAACCAGAGCCUGUCCCAAGUCUGCUGCCAUUUUGACAGUUCCU